rnacentral:rRNA from 1 species
UCCAGCCAUGCCGCGUGAGUGAUGAAGGCCCUAGGGUUGUAAAGCUCUUUCAGCGAGGAGGAUAAUGACGUUACUCGCAGAAGAAGCCCCGGCUAACUUCGUGCCAGCAGCCGCGGUAAUACGAAGGGGGCUAGCGUUGUUCGGAAUCACUGGGCGUAAAGCGCACGUAGGCGGAUUGAUAAGUUAGGGGUGAAAUCCCAGGGCUCAACCCUGGAACUGCCUUUGAUACUGUCAGUCUUGAGUUCGAGAGAGGUGAGUGGAACUCCGAGUGUAGAGGUGAAAUUCGUAGAUAU